rnacentral:rRNA from 1 species
GACGUAGGGUCCAAGCGUUGUCCGGAUUUACUGGGCGUAAAGAGCGCGUAGGCGGUCUGUUAAGUGCACGAGUGAAAUCCCUGGGCUCACCUCAGGAACCGCUCUGCAUACUGGCAGACUGGAGGGUCGGAGAGGUAUGUGGAAUUCCUGGUGUAGCGGUGAAAUGCGCAGAUAUCAGGAGGAACACCGAUGGCGAAGGCAGGUCUCUGGGCCACUACUGACGCUGAGAAGCGAAAGCAUGGGGAGCGAACAGG